rnacentral:ribozyme from 2 species
UUUUUUUUUUUUUUUUUUUUUUUUUUUUUUUUUC